CUUAUACUCCCUCCGUCCGAAAAUACUUGUCAUCAAAAUGGACAAAAAGGGAUGUAUCUAGAACUAAAAUACAUCUAGAUACAUCCCCUUUUAUUCAUUUUGAUGACAAGUAUUUCCGUACGGAGGGAAUACUAA
rfam:Triticum aestivum genome assembly, contig: Triticum_aestivum_CS42_TGACv1_scaffold_222530_3B